UAGGGAAUCUUCCGCAAUGGACGAAAGUCUGACGGAGCAACGCCGCGUGAGUGAGGAAGGCCUUCGGGUCGUAAAACUCUGUUGUUAGGGAAGAACACGUGCCGUUCUAAUAGGGCGGCAUCUUGACGGUACCUAACCAGAAAGCCACGGCUAACUACGUGCCAGCAGCCGCGGUAAUACGUAGGUGGCAAGCGUUGUCCGGAAUUAUUGGGCGUAAAGCGCGCGCAGGCGGUUCCUUAAGUCUGAUGUGAAAGCCCACGGCUCAACCGUGGAGGGUCAUUGGAAACUGGGGAACUUGAAUACAGGAGAGGAAAGUGGAAUUCCACGUGUAGCGGUGAAAUGCGUAGAGAUGUGGAGGAACACCAGUGGCGAAGGCGACUUUCUGGCCUGAUAUUGACGCUGAGGCGCGAAAGCGUGGGGAGCAAACAGGAUUAGAUACCCCCGUAGUCC
rnacentral:rRNA from 1 species